rnacentral:rRNA from 1 species
GGUUCUCUCCGAAAUAGCUUUAGGGCUAGCCUCAAGUGAUGAUUAUUGGAGGUAGAGCACUGUUUGGACGAGGGGCCCCUCUCGGGUUACCGAAUUCAGACAAACUCCGAAUGCCAAAUAAUUUAACUUGGGAGUCAGAACAUGGGUGAUAAGGUCCGUGUUCGAAAGGGAAACAGCCCAGACCACCAGCUAAGGUCCCAAAAUAUAUGUUAAGUGGAAAAGGAUGUGGCGUUGCCCAGACAACUAGGAUGUUGGCUUAGAAGCAGCCAUCAUUUAAAGAGUGCGUAAUAGCUCACUAGUCGAGUGACACUGCGCCGAAAAUGUACCGGGGCUAAACAUAUUACCGAAGCUGUGGAUUGUCCUU